rnacentral:tRNA from 1 species
GAGGGUGUAGCUCAGUGGUAGAGUGCGUGCUUAGCAUGCAUGGGUCCUGGGUUCAAUCCCCAGUACCUCCA